CCGAGUUUGGAGUGCUCGGGUUGUUUGGGCCCAGUCACGUGAGCAGUACCAUGUAGGUGGGAAAGGCUUAGCCUGUUCCCCGGUAGUCAAUAACAUCUCUCAUCAUCUCUUCUUCUCUCUGCUCUCUCUCUCUUUUUGUUUCACACUGAGAGAUGACGAACGAGGACGAAUUGCUUGGGUAACUCAUCAAAAUUGCUUGAGUAAAUUGCUUCUGACCAACAUCACAAACGAUUCCUCUUUCGAAUUCAUGGCCUUGGACGCCAUAACCAAUUCAAUCCCAGCAAAAAGCAAAAGCACGCCAUACAACACAACAGAAGCACCACUCCUACCCCCGAAUCGGUACUGCCCAACUAGCCCACCGUCUCCAUGGCACACCGGCAUUGCCCCGAACCAGCACCAAACAAGGUUCAUGGAUCUGAGGCUGACUUUCACGAAAAACCCAGAAAUCCAAGUCUUCAAAAUUAAACCGAAUUCGAAAACAAAUUAUACCAAAGUGUAUAGCAUGAUGAGUGGAUAGCAUGGUGAGUAGAAGAAGUUUCUUGCCUCAUGCAUCCCCAACAGUCACCGGAUUCGCCGGAAAAAUCUGAAGAAGCUUUCGGCCUUCGAUUCUCCCUCUUCGGGACAAACCAGUACCAGAGGAAGGUCGGCGACAAUGAGAUGAAUCGAACGGCACGGGUGUGACACCGUGAAGUGGCCGAACGGAGGAUUCCAGCAGGUCGCCGACUCAGGUCGUCGGGUCGCGGGGACCGGGUUGGGAGUCCAAUGCAUUGAUCUAAUUUUUUUUUUUUUUUUUUUUUUUUUUUUUUUGAGAU